rfam:Dipodomys ordii contig_30307, whole genome shotgun sequence.
GGGAAUGUGGCUUAGUGGUAGAGUGCUUGCCUAGUAUGCAUGAAGCCCUGGGUUCGAUUCCUCAGUACCA